GGGGAUGUUUUGGUUUCGACAGCAAAUUGUAUCGGAACGUAAGCAUGCCGAGCGUUGUGAGUCAGGCUCGUUAAUCCCAACUCUCAAGCCGUAAUUGGCGAAACUUCUUAUGCACUCGCUGCGUAGUCUGCUAAGCAUACUACCUUAAUCCCGCCGGACAAGGUUUCCGGUGCGACGAGUAUCCCGCUUCGCUGUUCUGCCCUUUAAUAGCGAAGUAUAUGGGGUAUCAUCCAUUCAGGGCUGGUUGUGCCGACGCCGCUACCGCACAAUAAGACUUCAGCGGAUAAGAAACAGGUAGGUUGCUUUUGUCCGGUCUGUUUACGAAAAUCAAUCAAAAGAUAAGCAUGUAGAAAGCGUUUGGAUGGUUUGUUUGGACACGGGUUCGAAUCCCGUCAUCUCCACUA
rnacentral:tmRNA from 1 species